GCAAGGUGGUGGCGACUUUAUAACCGGGAACCGCGGAGACGCUGAUUGACUGCUGUAGAAACCGGACCCGCAUUGGGAGUGAGAACUGGGGCCGCGUCAUGAGUCACCAGGCAGGAGGAGCUGACACAGGUGGUGGAUAUGACUCUGCACUCCAUGCAAGUGAAUUGUUGCAGUGUUCCAGAAUAUUCUGUGAUAGGCUGCUAGACUCAGAGCUGAGGAGGGCAUUCAAGGGGCAGUCAGUCUUAACUGCCCAAAACAGAGUAAAGUCCAUCAACCAGUGUCUAUUUCAAGGCGUCCAGUGAAUGAGGAUCAGCUAGACUCUAGAGAUACAGUGAAGAGCAAAAGAAGACUCUGGCAUUGUCCUGAGGGCGAUGGACAUUUAGCAGAAAUGACAAAGAUAAAUGAAACUCCUUCGGAGCAAGUGCUGUGAGGAAAACAUUCAUGAUGACCUGAAAGCAGAGAGCCAGAAGAACUAACAGGUUCCCUACCGCUGCUAUCAAUGAUAUCUAAAAGAUGGAAAAGAUUCAUGGUAUACGAAACAAGAACAGAAUUAUAUAAAAUUAUAUGCAGUCACACAGCUAGAAAGAGCUCUUGAAAGUUAAAAAUAUGAUCAUAGAAAUGAAUAAUUCAAUAGAUGAACUGGAAGAUUAAAGUCAUACUCCCAUGAAGUAGUACAGAUGGAAAAGUCACGGCAAGCAGGAGAGAAGACCUCGAAGAAUAUUAAUCCAUCAAUCAAGGGAUUCCAACACAUUAGUAGUACCGGUUUCAAAAGGAAUGGAGAGUAGGAAGUGAUAAGAAAAAGUUAAGAAAAUUUCUCAGCAUUUACAGACAAAAAUUUACAUCUUGAAUAUCCUAACAAAGUUCUCACUACAAUAGAUAAAAACAGACCCACACCAUGACAAACACAUUGGAAUUUCUGAGAGAAGAUGGAAAAGCAAGCCCUUGAAAACUUUAAGAGGCAACAAUCACAGACUUGGAGGCUAGCAGACAUUGCAGCAAUGCCUUCCAGAUUCCAAGGAAAACAUAUUCCAAUGCGGAGUUCUAUACCAAGUCAAGAUGUGAGUAAGGGCUGGGGCAGCCUAAACGUAUUUCAGAUGUUUAGAGUUUCACUGUUUUGCUUUCCAUGUUCCCUUCCUCAGGACACCACUGGGCAAUGAGGGGAACAAUGAUGGAGAACAUCAGAAAAGGGAGAAAAGUCAGAUCCAGGCAACAAAGGGGCUAGAACAAGAGAGAGACAAAAGGAGAAGGAGAUCCGGGAUGUCAGUCCUGCCCCAGGUGUGCAGAGAACCAGUCCACAUGGGGCAGGACUGAGGGCUGUGGGACAGCUGUGUUCACAAAGAGGAAGCUGGUGAAUUGUCAGGUGUGGUUGAAUAUAUUCAUGGACAUUUAGACUCUGGAGAGAGUAGUGGAAUCAUUUAGUAAUGAAUACAGAAAGUAAGCAAAUGAAGAAACAAGAUAUCUGUUAACUCUAGGGAACAUAAAAAGUUGAUUCAAGACAGGAAAAGUAAUCAUAGUCUACAAGAUGCUCAGUUGUGACUAAUGUUUACCUGGUGAUAAUGCAAACACUGCACAUUGAACUUAUCAGAAUUGUAAAGUAAUUAUAUUGGGUGGAUGGGGGUGUGUGAAAGGAAAGCCAGUUUAUUAAAGAUGAUGCAUAAAACUGAAUAACAAAGAAGGAGUAUUGGAAGUAUUCUGUUUAAAGGCAUAGAAGUAACAAUCAGAGAAUCAGCAAAAAGAACUGAAACAAGUUGUCUGUGAGAUUCAGGAAAAAGGCGGGGUUGGUGGGGGGGCGUUGGGCAUCUGUCUUCCUAAGAAGCCUUGUGGAAGCACUGGACCUUUUAAACUCUGUGCAAAUGGAUGUUUAGUAAAAAUAGAAAGACAACAUGGUAGGUGA